UAUUAAUUCAAUGAUUAGAAUCGAUCGUUUGCGUAUCAAGUCGCAACAUGUUCCUCAAGAAUUACCGCCACGUCAUCAUCAUCUUCUUCUUCUACGGUCUCCUUCUCUUCCGGCGAUCGCAAGCUUCCUCCUUCAUCUACGCCAGCUGCUCGCCGGGGAAGUACGAUCCCAUCACGCCGUUCCAGUCCCAUCUCGCUUCCCUCCUCGCCUCCCUCGUCGCCGGGGCCCCACUCGCCCUCUACAACAGUUACUCCGUCGGCGACAACUCCACCUUUCCCCCGGGCCUCGCCGCCUUCGGCCUCUUCCAGUGCCGCACCGACCUGCCUCCCGGCCACUGCGCCGCCUGCGUCCGCGACGCCGUCGAUCAGCUCUCCGUCGUCUGCCCCCGCUCCUUCGCCGGCUCCCUCCAGCUCGCCGCCUGCUUCGUCCGCUACAGCAACGAGAACUUCCUCGGCAAGCCGGACGCCGCGCUGGUGUUCCGCCUCUGCGGCACCGCCGCCGCCGGCAGAGCCUCCGGCGACGCCACGGCCUUCCUGCAGCAGCGCGAGGCCGUGCUGGCCGACCUCCUCGGCGCCGCGAGCUACCUGGUGAGCACCUCCGGCACGGUGCAGGGCGACGCGCAGUGCCUCGGCGAUCUCAUCGCCGCCGACUGCGCCGCGUGCCUGGCGCAGGCGGUGUCGCAGCUCAGGGCAGUCUGCGGCGACGCCCUCUCCGCCGACGUGUACCUGGCCCAGUGCUACGCCAGGUACUGGGCUCCCGCCCACUACUUCCAGGCCGCCAUUAGCGCAGAUUACUCUGAUGAUCAUGAUCACACUGCAAGAAAUGUGGCGAUAGUUCUGGGAAGCUUGGCCGGGCUGCUGGUCGUCAUAAUCCUCCUCUCCUUUGUGAAAAGAACAUGUUAAUGAAUGGAGGAGUCAUAUGAUGAGCUUGGGGGGAUCAAUUCGAUUUUUACUUGUACGUGCGAGGGUAGAUGAUGGACACUUGCGAGGAUGAAAGCGAGCGGAAGAAAGGGGGCGUGCAGAUAGAGAUGGCUCGUUGGCAGAUGGCGAUGUGAUUGAUUGGUAGAAGACUUUGCGAAGGAGGAAAAAAUGAUGAACUGGAUCGAUAAAAGAGCUUUGAGUCAUUGAGUGUCUUUCUCUUCUUUGUACACACUCAAGUGAGCCAACAGAACGUCAAUGCCCAAAAACUAAGGAAGGGGUUCAUGACGAAGACCCUCCGAUCCUUAAGUCAGUACGAUGUCCGAGCGGAAGAAGAAGAACAAUGUGAGCAAAUAAGAUAGUUGUAAAAGCAUGUCUCCCCAACUAACAAAGAGGACCCCUUUAUAUAUCACCUUUUAUAACCUCCGCAAUCAUGAGGUGGUAGAGAAUGUCAGAGAUUGUCGAGUAAGGGAAGACAUACAA